AUAACGUAGCGAAAGUUACGCUAAUACCGCAUAUUCUGUGAGCAGGAAAGCAGGGGAUCGCAAGACCUUGCGCUGAUUGAGCGGCCGAUAUCAGAUUAGCUAGUUGGUGAGGUAAAGGCUCACCAAGGCGACGAUCUGUAGCGGGUCUGAGAGGAUGAUCCGCCACACUGGAACUGAGACACGGUCCAGACUCCUACGGGAGGCAGCAGUGGGGAAUUUUGGACAAUGGGCGCAAGCCUGAUCCAGCCAUGCCGCGUGAGUGAAGAAGGCCUUCGGGUUGUAAAGCUCUUUCAGCCGGGAAGAAAACGCAUGGGUUAAUACCCUGUGUGGAUGACGGUACCGGAAUAAGAAGCACCGGCUAACUACGUG
rnacentral:rRNA from 1 species